AAGCAUGUCUUUCUCCUAACUCUUGCAUUAAUCGAUCCAUCUUUCAAAGAUCUAUCGAUUGAGGUCACUCAUGUCUACCAAUCCCGGCCACUCAGUUGACCACCGUUGACAAGUUGGAAUCCAUGAAGCCUUCUCCUCUUUGUCUUUUUGGCUUAUAGUAGUCAUUCGUCCACUCUUCCACAGAUUAAUGGUUAAGAUUGAAUCAGUGGGAGAGUGACAGAUAAUCACUGCCGGCCAUAAUUUGAUCUUUUCUGGUCACUGCGUCUUCACCAGAUCCAGGUGUUGGAGGUAGAGGACCCAAGCUGUGGAAGCUUCUUUGAUCGCAAGGAUUUAAGAUCCAGGUGUUAGAGGUAGCAGACCCAGACUGUGAGAGCUUUUUUGAUUGCAAGGAUUGAAGGUAGUGCUGCUUAGUUCAUCGCAGCCCCUUAGAGUCCUUUCCCUAUAUUUAUACUCUCAAUUAUCUAUCCGAACAAUAUUGUA